ACACCACCAUAUGUAAAAAAUAAAACUGGUACCUUUCAGAGAAGAUUGACAUGGUCCCUGUGCAAAGAAGACACCCAAAUUUGUGAAGCACUCCAUGUUUUU
ensembl:snRNA U6 U6 spliceosomal RNA